rnacentral:rRNA from 1 species
GAUAACCUUGCGAAAGUAAGACUAAUACCCAAUGACGUCUCUAGAAGACAUCUGAAAGGGAUUAAAGAUUUAUCGGUGAUGGAUGGGGAUGCGUCUGAUUAGCUUGUUGGCGGGGUAACGGCCCACCAAGGCAACGAUCAGUAGGGGUUCUGAGAGGAAGGUCCCCCACAUUGGAACUGAGACACGGUCCAAACUCCUACGGGAAGCAGCAGUGAGGAAUAUUGGUCAAUGGACGAGAGUCUGAACCAGCCAAGUAGCGUGCAGGAUGACGGCCCUAUGGGUUGUAAACUGCUUUUAUAAGGGAAUAAAGUGAGUCUCGUGAGACUUUUUGCAUGUACCUUAUGAAUAAGGACCGGCUAAUUCCGUGCCAGCAGCCGCGGUAAUACGGAAGGUCCGGGCGUUAUCCGGAUUUAUUGGGUUUAAAGGGAGCGUAGGCCGGAGAUUAAGCGUGUUGUGAAAUGUAGACGCUCAACGUCUGCACUGCAGCGCGAACUGGUUUCCUUGAGUACGCACAAAGUGGGCGGAAUUCGUGGUGUAGCGGUGAAAUGCUUAGAUAUCACGAAGAACUCCGAUUGCGAAGGCAGCUCACUGGAGCGCAACUGACGCUGAAGCUCGAAAGUGCGG